CAGCUUUAGUAGAAGAGGACCAUGCAGCUUUGGGGUGCUCCCUUUGAUCCCGUGGCUUGGGAAGCAGGAGAUACUUUGCCUGGAAAAAGGGUGAAACAACUCUUGCCAGUAAGCCAUGAGAAGGUGUCACAUGGCUUUGGAUUAAUUGGGGAUCCUGCCUGGACAGUGACACAGCUGACGGUGCUGCUGCCCUGAAUCAUGG